CCAAACUUGGUCAUUUAGAGGAAGUAAAAGUCGUAACAAGGUUUCCGUAGGUGAACCUGCGGAAGGAUCAUUAUUGAAAUCCUUAGGAUGUUGCUGGCCUCUAGGGGCAAUGUGCACUCCGCUUUUUCAAACUCACCUGUGAACCUAUUGUAGGCUCAGACUGUAAAAAAGUCUGUGUCUAUGUUUUUAUCACACACACUAUAAAAAGUUGAUAGAAUGUCAUUAAAGUAGACCUUUAUGGUUGAAAAAUAUUACAAAUACAACUUUCAACAAUGGAUCUCUUGGUUCUCGCAUCGAUGAAGAACGCAGC
rnacentral:misc_RNA from 1 species